rnacentral:rRNA from 1 species
UACGUAGGUGACCAGCGUUGUCCGGAUUUACUGGGCGUAAAGAGCGCGCAGGCGGUCGUUCAAGUCGAGUGUGAAAGCCCCGGGCUCAACCUGGGAAUUGCAUUUGAGACUGAAUAGCUAGGGUGCGGAAGAGGGAAGCGGAAUUUCCGGUGUAGCGGUGAAAUGCGUAGAUAUCGGAAGGAACACCAGUGGCGAAAGCGGCUUCCUGGUCCAGCACCGACGUCAGGCACGAAAGCCGUGGGGAGCAAACAGG